UGGGGAAUUUUGGACAAUGGGCGAAAGCCUGAUCCAGCAAUGCCGCGUGUGUGAAGAAGGCCUUCGGGUUGUAAAGCACUUUUGUCCGGAAAGAAAUGGCUCUGGUUAAUACCUGGGGUCGAUGACGGUACCGGAAGAAUAAGGACCGGCUAACUACGUGCCAGCAGCCGCGGUAAUACGUAGGGUCCAAGCGUUAAUCGGAAUUACUGGGCGUAAAGCGUGCGCAGGCGGUUGUGCAAGACCGAUGUGAAAUCCCCGAGCUUAACUUGGGAAUUGCAUUGGUGACUGCACGGCUAGAGUGUGUCAGAGGGGGGUAGAAUUCCACGUGUAGCAGUGAAAUGCGUAGAGAUGUGGAGGAAUACCGAUGGCGAAGGCAGCCCCCUGGGAUAACACUGACGCUCAUGCACGAAAGCGUGGGGAGCAAACAGGAUUAGAUACCCUGGUAGUCCACGCCCUAAACGAUGUCAACUAGUUGUUGGGGAUUCAUUUCCUUAGUAACGUAGCUAACGCGUGAAGUUGACCGCCUGGGGAGUACGGUCGCAAGAUUAAAACUGAAAUGAAUUGACGGGGUCAUAGCUGUUUCCUG
rnacentral:rRNA from 1 species